CUUAAAGUACUUUCUAGACAAAAUAUUAUGACUGCUGUACAUGCCUCUACUACAUGAGGUUUCAUUUGCCAGAUAUCAAGAGUUCAAAUCCCCAAAUCAGAGCUUCUUUGUUAAAAGGAUACAGUUUCGUCCCCGGUGUUUACUCAAUCUGUCAAUUUUGCAAUCUGGCAACCACGCAUGUGUACAGAAGCGUCUACAUUGAUCUGAAAACACUGACAAACAAGUAAGCUGGAGUUUAGCGAUCUCUGUGUGAGAUAUUCUGCUUAAAUGAAAGUGUAACUCAGACAGACUGUGUUCUGUCAUGAGCCGUUUGUGCGGGAUGGAUUUCAACUAAAUUGUUUGCAAUUAUGGUUGCUGAAUAAAUGCAGUUGUUUUAAUAGAGAAACAUUAUUGUAAGAAAAAAGCUGGUUCCACAACAAUGUUUAUUUGAAGAUUUAAAUAAAGAUCUGAGUCAAAAAUUCCCAAAUUCCUCACGAGAGUGCAUGUUACUGCACAGUGAGCCACAAAUAUGUAUUUUGGAGAACAGAUUUUGUGAAGUUUUGAAUAUUAUCAGUUUCCAUGUGCAUCACAUUAAAUUGUAAAAAACAUAAAAAAAGCUUUCGUUACUUUUAAGAAAGUGUCUAACUCAAUCUUAUUUCCAUUAAAAAGUUAUUAUUUUGAGCGAUGCUGAGAUGACAAAAAAUCUAAUGUUGACAACAAAUUUCAUGGUUUGCUUUUUACAAAAUAAGUGUAUUUGUUAGAUACUGUUUAAGGCUGAACGAUUAAUCAAAAUCCAACUGGAAUCGUGAUUUGGCUUGAUGCAAAGGCUGCGAUUUUUAAUGAAAUAAAUAUUUGCACAGUGCCAGUAGUAAAUGCUGCUCAUCUCUGCGAGCGCUGUGAGUCUGAGUCGCUUAUAACCUGCAUCUGAUUAAGCAACACACUCCUAACAUCCUCUCAAACUUAAUGAGAAGUGCUUAUAAACCUGUUGUUGAGAACAUUACAACAAGAUUUUACUCCAAAGCAUCAGUCAAGUGUUUUAAAAUUACUUAAUUUUCUGAUCUGACGUGGCUUAUUACAGAAUGAGGCACAAAAUAUAAAAAUGAAGAAAUUACUGUCAAAGAUUUUUAUCAAACAGUAUCAUAUAAAAUACAAGUCACAGGCCUGUAUGUUAACAAGUAACAUUUUCUGUAAAAUAAAAUUAGUAUUGUUAUUACCUUAUUCGUUUAUCUAAUUAUUAUUUUGUUAUUUUUUAAUUUGUUUUAAAAAUCUUGCUAAGUGAGAGAAAUUGAUUAAUUUCCAUAGUUUUUAAUUCAGAAGGAGAUAUUGGGUUUAAUGUUACACAAAUUACUGGCUAUUUAAAUAGCUAAUUUAAUGUGUGACAUCAUUAAUUUAACAGAGAUAAAGAGAUUCAUGACACAGAUUGAGUGAAGAAAGACUUUGAGAAUGAAAACCUGUUUGUUCCUCAGACUCUUCUUGUUUCAGAC
rnacentral:lncRNA from 1 species